AGACGGAGGGUGCAAACGUUGUUCGGAAUUACUGGGCAUAAAGCGCACGUAGGCGGUCCGAUAAGUCAGUUGUGAAAGCCCUCGGCUCAACCGGGGAACUGCAAUUGAUACUGUCGGACUUGAGGGUGGUGGGGGUGAGUGGAACUUCUGGUGGAGCGGUGAAAUGCGUAGAUAUCAGAAGGAACACCAGUGGCGAAAGCGGCUCACUGGACCACAUCUGACGCUGAGGUGCGAAAGCUAGGGUAGCAAACAGGAUUAGAAACCCCAGUAGUCC
rnacentral:rRNA from 1 species